rnacentral:lncRNA from 1 species
GCUGGUUGACUAAUGGCUCGUCGUUUCCUAGUGUCAUUGUUGUUUCUACGAGCUGUUUUCUCGAUCUCAGGGUCGACAAGGANUGGUUCAGAUGACACAGUCCUCCUUGUACGAAUAGUUCCCUGCAUACACUAGAGAACAACCAAACUCGAGCCACAAGUUAGCUCCAAAAAUAUGAAAAUAGUAAUUACUAUAAAAAAGAAAAUUAUAAACAAAAGAAUAAAGUCUAAAUUAGUUAAAAAUCACACAAAAGUCUAGUUUGAACACCGAGUCCCCGGC